rnacentral:rRNA from 1 species
GAUGAACGCUGGCGGCGUGCCUAAUACAUGCAAGUCGAGCGAACAGACGAGGAGCUUGCUCCUCUGACGUUAGCGGCGGACGGGUGAGUAACACGUGGAUAACCUACCUAUAAGACUGGGAUAACUUCGGGAAACCGGAGCUAAUACCGGAUAAUAUAUUGAACCGCAUGGUUCAAUAGUGAAAGACGGUUUUGCUGUCACUUAUAGAUGGAUCCGCGCCGCAUUAGCUAGUUGGUAAGGUAACGGCUUACCAAGGCAACGAUGCGUAGCCGACCUGAGAGGGUGAUCGGCCACACUGGAACUGAGACACGGUCCAGACUACUACGGGAGGCAGCAGUAGGGAAUCGUCCGCAAUGGGCGAAAGCCUGACGGAGCAACGCCGCGUGAGUGAUGAAGGUCUUCGGAUCGGAAAACUCUGUUAUUAGGGAAGAACAAAUGUGUAAGUAACUAUGCACGUCUUGACGGUACCUAAUCAGAAAGCCACGGCUAACUACGUG